rnacentral:rRNA from 1 species
CAAUAGCGUAUAUUAAAGUUGUUGCGGUUAAAAAGCUCGUAGUUGGAUUUCUGCCGAGGACGACCGGUCCGCCCUCUGGGUGUGUAUCUGGUUUGGCCUGGGCAUCUUCUUGGAGAACGUAGCUGCACUUGACUGUGUGGUGCGGUGUCCAGGACUUUUACUUUGAGGAAAUUAGAGUGUUUCAAGCAGGCACACGCCUUGAAUACAUUAGCAUGGAAUAAUAAGAUAGGACCUCGGUUCUAUUUUGUUGGUUUCUAGAGCUGAGGUAAUGAUUAAUAGGGAUAGUUGGGGGCAUUCGUAUUUAACUGUCAGAGGUGAAAUUCUUGUAUUUGUUAAAGACGGACUACUGCGAAAGCAUUUGCCAAGGAUGUUUUCAUUGA